AGCAUCUGAGAAGCACACUCCUUCUGCAAGGUGUUAUAGCCUGAUCACUACAGAAACAUAGGGAAGGAACUUUGGGGGUGCAUAGGGCACUGGGGCUUCAGAAAACAAAGUUUUGAUGGUCUUAGGGGCUUAGAGUCUCUUGCUUGUUUGCUCCUCUACCAGGUGAAGGGAGAGCGCUGGGCCUUCAAGGAGGACCCAGGUGCCCUAAUUUAGGGAACUUAAAGACCUUGCUAUGCACAGAGACUGGGGUGACAUUUAGGCCAUCAGAGCUUAGCUGUUGGAGGCAGGGAGCACCUCUGCUUCUGACUAAUAGGUCCUAGCAGAGAAGGAGGCGUUGAGCAACCUUAGUCCCUGAAGGCUGCAGAGGCACGGCAGAGCUGCUGGGUAUGCCAGAGGUAUGGUUCAUCCUCUUGUCUCUCCUGUAUUUAUCCCUCUGGCUCUGACAACCUAAACUCCUCACUUUAUUUUUCUUGGGAUUUUCUUUGGAUGAACCCUAUUAAAUGCAAUGCUAGCGUUGAAAUUUGCCUACGCCAAUAAGGCCAUCUGUUUUAUUAACUGAAGAAGGUCUCUGGAGUAUUUCUUGCAGGCUUGCAGCCCUUUCUGCCGCCCCCAGCACUUUACAUCAGCCCUGCGAACAAUGGGAGGGGACCCAGGAGGUCGCUGGCAGGAAGCACCUCUUCCCGUGCAUAAUGAACUGGCUGGGAGACUGAGGGAUGGAGAUAGCACACGAGACACACAGCACAAACUGCUGAAACAAUAAACAAACAAACGGAUGGCCAGCACUUCCUCUUCUUAUAUUGUUAACUUUGCUUCCUAAACCCACCCCUCAAAAGCCAGCCUUCUAGGCUUGCUGAUGCUUAACCUCUUUGUUGCCAGAGAUGGCUGAAGGCCCCAGCCAUUGCUUGCCAAUGUGAUAACAGCUGCAAGAGCCUUCUGAAAAAUAUAACAGCACUUUUACAAAAAAAUUGAAUGUAGGAAGAAAUAAUGUGACCAUAAGGCUCUAUGGGUGUAGUGCCUUGGUACCAGGACCGUGCCCCAGGUGGGUACAGACAUUCAGACUCUUUGGGCAGGAUGUCAUUUCACCAUUUCUUAUCUGUUAGCAGGAGAAUUAUGACAGCAGAAACUGAGUGGUGGCAAAGCUAUCUCCAUCCAUGUAGACUCUGAAGAAAAAUGCCUGCUUGAAAAGCAGUUGGGGAUGGUCUUUGGUUCGGUGCAUGCAAGUAUUUCAUCCCAUGGCAGCUGGAGUUCAUGGCCCACAGGAGCUCUGGGUGCAGCAGCGAGGUAGUGGCCCUGCACCUGCCACAGCCUGGCACCGGUUGGUCAGGGGAUCCUACUCCAUGUCACCCUUCAUAGAAUGCUGCCAGGAAGCGGUAAAAGACUAUUUGGGAGAACCAGGCUGGUGCUUCUGGAGCUGAGAAGCCACUUUUCAGAAGGCGUGCUGAUACUUCUCCCCAUCAGCCCCUAAGGUCCAGAGCUAGUUGAGGGGUGGCCUGGAGGCGUCAUGACCCUCCCUGGGACUCUCCCAGCAGCAGGGCAAGGGCUGUCACAGGACAGGCCCUACCUUCUGCUGAGUGCUCCCAGCUGACAGCUGAUUUGUUAUUACUUUAAAUACCCACUGUUUGUGUUAAGCACAGCAAGAAGUCUAGUAAACCGAAAUGGUGACAUUUAAAAAUGAACUAUCUCAAAUAGAUGUUUAGUCCUUCAAAUAGGGAAGCUAUCUGCUAAAUACCAAGUUUAACAGUUAUGUAAUAAGUCCAUAUCAAAACACAGAUAAUGACUGGUUGGCUAUGGUUUAGCAGUUGUUAUUUAAUUAACCUAUAAAGGCUUUCCUACUUAAUCAAAAUUUUAUUUCUGUCCCAAAGACUAUUUAGGGUGUAGUUCUGGAAGUGUUAUCAGUGUUGCUUUAAGUACUGAGGCACUGGUGCAAAGAAAUUACCCAAGGCUACAAGUGCAUGGCUGUGGGCAUGGGAGUGCCACUCCAGACACAUCAAGCCAAGUCACGGGCUGCUGGAGGUAAAGGGACCUCUGGAGGCCACUUGGUCCACUCCCUGCUCAGGCCAGCCAGAACAGGUUGUCCAGGACCGUAUCCAGGUCAGGGCCUCCGUUCUCUUUUCAGUCAUGGCUUACUCUAGAGGAGCUACACCAGCUGUCCUCCUUCCUGUCACCUUCCCUGAAGUCCUCCCUGGUAACUCAUCCUCCAACUUUAGUUACAAAAUGUGCAGCCUCAGGUAAGGAGCAACUGUCCCAGGCAGUGCAUGCCUUAGGCCAGCUCCAGCACUCUUGCUGUCCAUCCCUGAGCCCCAAAGCACAGCCCAGCUUUGGCAUAUUGAUCGUCAGUCAGUUUUUUAAAAGAAUGAACCUCAAAGGCAACAAUACCUUGGCUCAGGCUCUGAGCCCCCAAGAGGGAAGAGAGCUGGGUGGCAGCACAGGAGAUGGCAGGUCCUGUGGCUCUUCCUGGCUGUGCUCCCCUGUGUGGGUUUGGAUGAGUGGAUGAGAGCAGGUCCUUGGAGCACAGCUUGCUUGGCCCUUUGUGGGGAGAUCAGCCUCCUCCCAUAGAGAAAUGGCAGAUUCUCAUGCCUGGUGUGUUUUGACACAUUUUGAGGCCCAGUGGUCUUAAAGCUUUUUCUUUUCUACAGCUAAUAUCACCCCACAUCACAGUAUGUGUCUUCACAGUGUGAGUCAAGUGAAAAUAAGAUGGAUUUGCACAUCCAGCCUUCAGCAAGAAGGAAGAAAUGUGGAGUGAAUUCUUCCUGAGCACAAGUGCUUGGAUUUCAAGGGACUUCCAACCAACCUCCAGUCUCACUUGUGAUGCAGCUCUUCAGCAGUCUGCAAAGAGAUGAUGUGUUCAACCCACUGCUGAAGCCCAAGAAGGAAGAGUAGUGCUGUGGCAACAGCUUCAAAAGGUGCUGCCAAAGUUCCCGUUAAAGCCAGCUAUAGUUUUGCCUGAAUAAGGACCGGAGGACCUAGCCAGAUCUUGUAGGAUAAAAGGUUUGUCUACUCUUUAAACUCUGGAUAAGCAUCUGAACUCUCUGCCACAUUCCUAAAUUAGAUCAUCCCCAGUGUGAGCCCUGCUUCAGGAGAAACCCUGCCAAGCCAUGCUGAUGGGCUUCCUCAGGGCCUGUGGGGCACAGGGCUGUGCUGAGCUCCGUGGCCAGGCGGGCCUGGAGACACUGCCAUCUUGCAGCUGAGGGACAGUAGAAAGACAGAGGCAGGUGGAGAGGGCGAACUGCACAGCAUGUCUGAGGCCUGUGUUUGAGCACAUUGGCCUGGAUUUGCUGUGGGUGACUUGGACCACUGGCACUGGUAUCUUCUCCGGGCAACAUGUUGUACAAUGCAG
rnacentral:lncRNA from 1 species